AGUCAGCUCCCACCAGGCCUCUACUCCAACACUGAGAAUCACAGCUGAGAAUUGAGUGGGGACUUGGAGCCGAACAAUAUCAACAUCUAUGCUGGGAAUGAGAAAGUUGGCUUUUCCUAACACUUGACCCAUCCUGAAGGAGAGACCUUGGGAGAACACUUCUGAUGCCAAAUGUGUGUGGAGGUUUGCCCUCAACGAUCAUUUCUGCAACACCAGCUAAGUGUUCUACAAUUGAACUCUGGCACUAUCUACCCAGAGUUAGUUUGGAAUUCACAGGUUAAAGGCUCAGUCCCACAAGACCGCCCCCACUUCACAUGCCAAUUGCAAUU